rnacentral:rRNA from 1 species
GUGCACCAGGCGCGAAACCUCCGCAAUACACGAAAGUGUGACGGGGCCAUCCCGAGUGCCGUCCGCUGAGGACGGCUUUUCCCCAGUGUACACAGCUGGGGGAAUAAGGAGAGGGCAAGCCUGGUGUCAGCCGCCGCGGUAAUACCAGCUCUCCGAGUGGUGGGGACGCUUAUUGGGCCUAAAGCAUCCGUAGCCGGCUGGGCAAGUCCUCCGUUAAAUCCAACGAUUCAAUCGUUGGGCUGCGGGGAUACUGUCCAGCUUGGGGGCGGGAGAGGCCGACGGUAUUCCCGGGGUAGGGGUGAAAUCCUAUAAUCCCGGGAGGACCACCAGUGGCGAAGGCUGUCGGCUAGAACGCGCCCGACGGUGAGGGAUGAAAGCUGGGGGA